rnacentral:rRNA from 1 species
AACGCUAGCUACAGGCUUAACACAUGCAAGUCGAGGGGCAGCAUUUUAGUUUGCUUGCAAACUAAAGAUGGCGACCGGCGCACGGGUGAGUAACACGUAUCCAACCUGCCGAUAACUCAGGGAUAGCCUUUCGAAAGAAAGAUUAAUACCUGAUGGCAUAGGGUUAUCGCAUGAUGAUCCUAUUAAAGAAUUUCGGUUAUCGAUGGGGAUGCGUUCCAUUAGUUUGUUGGCGGGGUAACGGCCCACCAAGACAGCGAUGGAUAGGGGUUCUGAGAGGAAGGUCCCCCACAUUGGAACUGAGACACGGUCCAAACUUCUACGGGAGGCAGCAGUGAGGAAUAUUGGUCAAUGGACGGGAGUCUGAACCAGCCAAGUAGCGUGAAGGAUGACUGCCCUAUGGGUUGUAAACUUCUUUUAUACGGGAAUAAAGUUGUCCACGUGUGGAUUUUUGUAUGUACCGUAUGAAUAAGGAUCGGCUAACUCCGUGCCAGCAGCCGCGGUAAUACGGAGGAUCCGAGCGUUAUCCGGAUUUAUUGGGUUUAAAGGGAGCGUAGGUGGAUUGUUAAGUCAGUUGUGAAAGUUUGCGGCUCAACCGUAAAAUUGCAGUUGAUACUGGCAGUCUUGAGUACAGUAGAGGUGGGCGGAAUUCGUGGUGUAGCGGUGAAAUGCUUAGAUAUCACGAAGAACUCCGAUUG